rnacentral:rRNA from 1 species
UGGAGGCAGCAGUGGGGAAUUUUGGACAAUGGACGAAAGUCUGAUCCAGCAAUGCCGCGUGCAGGACGAAGGCCUUCGGGUUGUAAACUGCUUUUGUACGGAGCGAAAAGGUCUUUUUUAAUACAAGAGGCUCAUGACGGUACCGUAAGAAUAAGCACCGGCUAACUACGUGCCAGCAGCCGCGGUAAUACGUAGGGUGCAAGCGUUAAUCGGAAUUACUGGGCGUAAAGCGUCCGCAGGCGGUUGUGUAAGACAGAUGUGAAAUCCCCGGGCUCAACCUGGGAACUGCAUUUGUGACUGCACGGCUAGAGUACGGCAGAGGGGGAUGGAAUUCCGCGUGUAGCAGUGAAAUGCGUAGAUAUGCGGAGGAACACCGAUGGCGAAGGCAAUCCCCUGGGCCUGUACUGACGCUCAUGGACGAAAGCGUGGGGAGCAAACAGGAUUAGAUACCCCGGUAGC